GACGAACGCUGGCGGCGUGCCUAAUACAUGCAAGUCGAACGCUGAAGGAGGAGCUUGCUUCUCUGGAUGAGUUGCGAACGGGUGAGUAACGCGUAGGUAACCUGCCUGGUAGCGGGGGAUAACUAUUGGAAACGAUAGCUAAUACCGCAUAAGAGUAGAUGUUGCAUGACAUUUGCUUAAAAGGUGCAAUUGCAUCACUACCAGAUGGACCUGCGUUGUAUUAGCUAGUUGGUGGGGUAACGGCUCACCAAGGCGACGAUACAUAGCCGGCCUGAGAGGGGGAUCGGCCACACUGGGACUGAGACACGGCCCAGACUCCUACGGGAGGCAGCAGUAGGGAAUCUUCGGCAAUGGACGGAAGUCUGACCGAGCAACGCCGCGGGAGUGAAGAAGGUUGUCGGAUCGGAAAGCUCUGUUGUAAGAGAAGAACGAGUGUGAGAGUGGAAAGUUCACACUGUGACGGUAGCUUACCAGAAAGGGACGGCUAACUACGUG
rnacentral:rRNA from 1 species